GCCUGGCUGGUUCAGCCAAUAGAGCAUGUGAUUCUUAAUCUCAGGACUGUGAGUUCAAGCCCCAUGUUGGGCA
rnacentral:tRNA from 1 species